rnacentral:rRNA from 1 species
UACAGAGGUCUCGAGCGUUGUUCGGAUUCAUUGGGCGUAAAGGGCGCGUAGGCGGCGGGGUAAGUCUGGUGUGAAAUCUCGGAGCUCAACUCCGAAAUUGCACUGGAUACUGCUCUGCUAGAGGGCUGGAGAGGAGAUCGGAAUUCACGGUGUAGCAGUGAAAUGCGUAGAUAUCGUAAGGAAGACCAGUGGCGAAGGCGAAUCUCUGGACAGUUACUGACACUGAGGCACGAAGGCCAGGGGAGCAAACGGG